rnacentral:rRNA from 1 species
UGGCUCAGGACGAACGCUGGCGGCACGCUUAACACAUGCAAGUCGAACGAGCGAAAGAGUGCUUGCACUCUCUAGCUAGUGGCGGACGGGUGAGUAACACGUGAGCAAUCUGCCUUUCGGAGAGGGAUACCAAUUGGAAACGAUUGUUAAUACCUCAUAACAUAACGAAGCCGCAUGACUUUGUUAUCAAAUGAAUUUCGCCGAAAGAUGAGCUCGCGUCUGAUUAGGUAGUUGGUGAGGUAACGGCCCACCAAGCCGACGAUCAGUAGCCGGACUGAGAGGUUGAACGGCCACAUUGGGACUGAGACACGGCCCAGACUCCUACGGGAGGCAGCAGUGGGGAAUAUUGCACAAUGGGCGAAAGCCUGAUGCAGCGAUGCCGCGUGAGGGAAGAAGGUUUUAGGAUUGUAAACCUCUGUCUUUGGGGACGAUAAUGACGGUACCCAAGGAGGAAGCUCCGGCUAACUACGUGCCAGCAGCCGCGGUAAUACGUAGGGAGCGAGCGUUGUCCGGAAUUACUGGGUGUAAAGGGAGCGUAGGCGGGAUUCAAGUCAGGUGUGAAAUUUAGGGGCUUAACCCCUGAACUGCACUUGAAACUGUAGUUCUUGAGUGAAGUAGAGGUAAGCGGAAUUCCUAGUGUAGCGGUGAAAUGCGUAGAUAUUAGGAGGAACAUCAGUGGCGAAGGCGGCUUACUGGGCU